AUAUUCUGUAGCAAGGUUAACCGAAUAGGGGAGCCGAAGGGAAACCGAGUCUUAACCGGGCGUUAAGUUGCAGGGUAUAGACCCGAAACCCGGUGAUCUAGCCAUGGGCAGGUUGAAGGUUGGGUAACACUAACUGGAGGACCGAACCGACUAAUGUUGAAAAAUUAGCGGAUGACUUGUGGCUGGGGGUGAAAGGCCAAUCAAACCGGGAGAUAGCUGGUUCUCCCCGAAAGCUAUUUAGGUAGCGCCUCGUGAAUUCAUCUCCGGGGGUAGAGCACUGUUUCGGCAAGGGGGUCAUCCCGACUUACCAACCCGAUGCAAACUGCGAAUACCGGAGAAUGUUAUCACGGGAGACACACGGCGGGUGCUAACGUCCGUCGUGAAGAGGGAAACAACCCAGACCGCCAGCUAAGGUCCCAAAGUCAUGGUUAAGUGGGAAACGAUGUGGGAAGGCCCAGACAGCCAGGAUGUUGGCUUAGAAGCAGCCAUCAUUUAAAGAAAGCGUAAUAGCUCACUGGUCGAGUCGGCCUGCGCGGAAGAUGUAACGGGGCUAAACCAUGCACCGAAGCUGCGGCAGCGACACUGUGUGUUGUUGGGUAGGGGAGCGU
rnacentral:rRNA from 1 species